rnacentral:rRNA from 1 species
GACGUAGGGCGCGAGCGUUGUCCGGAUUUAUUGGGCGUAAAGAGCUCGUAGGCGGCUUGUCGCGUCGAAUGUGAAAUCUCGGGGCUCAACUCCGAGCUUGCAUUCGAUACGGGCAGGCUAGAGUUCGGUAGGGGGGACUGGAAUUCCUGGUGUAGCGGUGAAAUGCGCAGAUAUCAGAAGGAACACCGGUGGCGAAGGCGGGUCUCUGGGCCGAUACUGACGCUGAGGAGCGAAAGCGUGGGGAGCGAACAGG